UACGGAGGGGGCUAGCGUUGUUCGGAAUUACUGGGCGUAAAGCGCGCGUAGGCGGCUUUGUAAGUUAGAGGUGAAAGCCCGGAGCUCAACUCCGGAACUGCCUUUAAGACUGCAUCGCUAGAAUCAUGGAGAGGUGAGUGGAAUUCCGAGUGUAGAGGUGAAAUUCGUAGAUAUUCGGAAGAACACCAGUGGCGAAGGCGGCUCACUGGACAUGUAUUGACGCUGAGGUGCGAAAGCGUGGGGAGCAAACAGG
rnacentral:rRNA from 1 species